ensembl:lncRNA LINC02790 long intergenic non-protein coding RNA 2790
GAGAGAAAUCAUGUGAGCUUGAGAAGGAAUCAGAUUCUGCAUAUAUUUCCAAGUUAACAUGAACAAGAUUUUCUGAAAGACUGCUAUGGAGUCUGAGAAAAAAUGUCAAAGGUAGUGCCAAAAUUGUCACUUAAAGAACUGCAGGAAUGGAGUUGGCAUUUACAGAAUUUGGAAGAGAAGCAGGUUUAGUGAUAAAGACCAGAAGCACAGAGCUAAGCAUAUUAAAUAUUGAGGACAUGAAGAGGAAAGAACUGACAGAGGAGGUGAAGAAAGGUGAUCAGGAAGAGCCAUCAAAGUGUUAUCCUGGAAUUCAAGUGAAGACAGUGUUUCAAAGUGGAAAUGAACAGUGUCCUGUAACCCUCAGAGUGAGACUAGAGUCAGAAUGCAGGCUUUUCUCAUUUGAAAUCUAUUGAAUAAACAUCAGUAAAAGAAGCAAUCCAAGUUCUCAUGCCAAAUAUGUAUAUGUCCAAGACCAGGAUUUCUUCAUGUCUGAAUGUGGAUAUGGAGCCUAGAGUACUAGAUAUGCCACAGAGAGGAUCCAGAGAGCCCAUCUCCGGUCAGUUAUCUGUAUUUGUAUGUCAACUACAGCAUCAAAAAGCAUAGGCAUGGAUACUAAGGACCCCCUCUGUACACCAACGCCAGUCCAAAGGACAGUGUGUCACUGUGAACUGGAAAUUCAUCUCUCUUCUUCAAUUUUUUUCUACCUACUUUAUGCUUUAUCUCUAAGUUGAGGCUGUUUAUGGCCUCAUCCUCAAUUACCUUGUCC